CCAAAGCCCAAAUGUUACUGGUGUUUGUUAGACAUUCUCACAAAAAGGUCUCUUAAUCCAAAAUGCGGCUUCUCAUCUGGUCCUUAUGUCUCUCUAUUGUCUCCCUGGAAGUAGCCUCAGCUUCAGAACCGUAUUAUGCAAUUACAAUACCUGCUCAGAUGGUCUACCCCUCACUGGAGAGAGCAUGUGUUACUAUCUUGAAAAUGAAGGGGGCGCUACAGCUCAAAAUGACGUUAAAGAGAGAACAGAAAAGUAUUUUGGUGACAGAGGACACAGUCAACACCCCCCACGUAUUUUCACUGUUAUUCUUUUCAGCUCCCUACCGUAGUGGAUGAAGAAGAGGUCUGGUUUUUUCAUGUUUCUGCUCAUGGAGACAACAUUAACGUCAAUCAGACCAAGAAGAUCUUGCUCAUGAAAGGAACUCAUUUGACUUUCAUUCAGACUAAUAAACCAAUCUAUAAG